CUGUGGGGAUUUGUUGGGGAGAAAUGAAGUGGAUGUGUGUGUCGAUCCCGCCAGCUGUUACAAUCAGUCCCUCACCCGCGAGCGCUUCGGUGGCAGGCCCCACGCAUAGAUUGUUGUCUACACCAUCUUGCAUGUCUUUGUUGCCAGCCUUGCCAAUGCCCGCAAUCUUGCCAUCCUUAAUGCCAAUAUCGGCUUUGUAAAUGCCGGUAUAAUCCACGAUCAGAGCAUUGGUGAUGACCAAAUCCAACUCAUAGGAGCUAGGGCUGUUAGUUUGCCCCAUCCCAUCUCGAAUGG
rnacentral:sRNA from 1 species